UACGGGGGGAGCAAGCGUUGUUCGGAUUUACUGGGCGUAAAGGGCGCGGUAGGCGGUCAGCACAAGUCAGUUGUGAAAUCUCCGGGCUUAACUCGGAAAGGUCAACUGAUACUGUGCGACUAGAGUGCGGAAGGGGCACUGGAAUUCUCGGUGUAGCGGUGAAAUGCGUAGAUAUCGAGAGGAACACCUGCGGCGAAGGCGGGUUGCUGGGCCGACACUGACGCUGAUGCGCGAAAGCCAGGGGAGCGAACGGG
rnacentral:rRNA from 1 species